GGGAUCGUAGCUCAAUCGGCAGAGCAUGAAACGUAUGUCAAUGGAUACAGGUUCGAGUCCUGUCGCUCCUU
rnacentral:tRNA from 1 species